rnacentral:rRNA from 1 species
GGCUCAGGAUGAACGCUAGCGGCAGGCCUAAUACAUGCAAGUCGGACGGGAUCCAUCGGAGAGCUUGCUCGAAGAUGGUGAGAGUGGCGCACGGGUGCGUAACGCGUGAGCAACCUACCUCUAUCAGGGGGAUAGCCUCUCGAAAGAGAGAUUAACACCGCAUAACAUCAACAGUUCGCAUGUUCGGUUGAUUAAAUAUUUAUAGGAUAGAGAUGGGCUCGCGUGACAUUAGCUAGUUGGUAGGGUAACGGCUUACCAAGGCGACGAUGUCUAGGGGCUCUGAGAGGAGAAUCCCCCACACUGGUACUGAGACACGGACCAGACUCCUACGGGAGGCAGCAGUAAGGAAUAUUGGUCAAUGGGCGGAAGCCUGAACCAGCCAUGCCGCGUGCAGGAUGACUGCCCUAUGGGUUGUAAACUGCUUUUGUCCAGGAAUAAACCUAAAUACGUGUAUUUAGCUGAAUGUACUGGAAGAAUAAGGAUCGGCUAACUCCGUGCCAGCAGCCGCGGUAAU